CGAUAGGAAAUGCCGUGAAUGGAAGAGGAAGUGCAUGUAGAAGACAGAGCCCCAAUCCGGGGACUGGAUGGCAAGAACCAUAGGUUACAGCACAGAGGGAGGCCAUUCAGCCCGUUGUGCCUGCGCAGGCCUUCUGCAAGAAUAACUCCGUUAACAUCACUCUCCCGCCUUUUCCCAUAGCCCUGGAACAUUUUUCUCUUCAGGUCUCAUUGGGUCAUGCACCAGACCAGUCUGCCACUGUGCUUCCAGACCUUUACUAAAGACCAAAGAGCUGUUUACGCAGAGAUGUUCAUAAUCCUGAAAGAGCUCAAUUCUGUACAGACAGUUAAAGGCAUGGUGACAUGACCUGUCUGGUUCCAUUGGAUCUCAGCUCACUGGCACGUCACUGAUAACAUCGCUGAUCUUGGGUCAGAUGGCCCCUCAAACUCAUGAUUUCUAACCAAAACCAAAACUACAAAAGUCCUCGCUUUAUCUCAGAAAUAUUUGAUCACACUCUCAGAGAUAAUAAAAUAUUGGCUGAAGAAUAA